AAUCUGCCUUUUGGUUUGGAAUAACACGGGGAAACUUGUGCUAAUACCGGAUAAGCCCUUACGGGGAAAGUUUUAACGCCGAAAGAUGAGCCUGCACUUGAUUAGCUAGUUGGUAAGGUAAAAGCUUACCAAGGCAACGAUCAAUAGCUGUUCUUAGAGGAAGACCAGCCACAUUGGGACUGAGACACGGCCCAGACUCCUACGGGAGGCAGCAGUGGGGAAUCUUGCACAAUGGGGGAAACCCUGAUGCAGCGAUGCCGCGUGAGUGAAGAAGGCCCUUGGGUUGUAAAACUCUUUCGUCGGGGAAGAAAAUGACUGUACCCGAAUAAGAAGGUCCGGCUAACUUCGUGCCAGCAGCCGCGGUAAUACGAAGGGACCUAGCGU
rnacentral:rRNA from 1 species